rnacentral:tRNA from 1 species
GGCCUUGUAUUCAUUUUGUGAUUGUAGAAUGCAAUUCUAUAGGGGUAGGUUAAAUAAGACUUAUCAAGGCCU